rnacentral:rRNA from 1 species
AAUAAAUACAAAUAAAAUUUUUUAUUUAAAGUUAAAAUGUUUUUAAUAAUAUAUAAUUAAAUUUAUUAGGUUAAAUUUUAAAUUUAAAAAAUUAUUAUAAAUUAAAUUAUUUGAAGCUUGAAAAUUUUAUUAUUAAACUAGGAUUAGAUACCCUAUUAUAAAAAAUGUAAAUUUAAAAAAUAGAGUAGUAUUAGUUAUGUUCUUAAAACUUAAUAAAUUUGGCGGUAUUUUAAUCUAUUCAGAGGAACUUGUUUUAUAAUUGAUAUUCCUCGUUAAAUCUUACUUAAAUUAAUAGUUUGUAUACCAUCGUCAUAAGAAUCUCUUAAAAAAGAAAAAAUUUUCUUAAUAAUUUAUUAUUUAAUAUGUCAGAUCAAGGUGCAGCUUAUAUUUAAGAAAAAAUGAGUUACAAUAAAAAUAUUUAUACGAAUUUAAAAUUUAAAAAUUUUAAUGAAGGUGGAUUUGAUAGUAAAAUAAAUUACAGAGUUUAUUUGAUUUUAGUUCUAAAAUAUGUACAUAUCGCCCGUCGCUCUCGUUAUUUAAAAUGAG